CUCACAAUAAAACCCUAGCCGCCGCACUCACGGGCUCACUCAUCAUUAGUUUAAGUGUGAGGCAGCGGCGUGCAUCGGCGCCGGAGGCGCGCUCCGCCUCUCCGCUCGCCCUGCUCGCCGCGGCCGAUGACCGCACCACCCGAGACCGCGGCCACACGAAAAAACGGCGGCGAUGAGGAGGCCCGGCCCUUGGCGCCGACCCGCGCUCCCGAGCGGCGGCGGCGUCGGAUCCGGCCGCCCCGCGGGGCCAGCCCUCCCGUCCGCGCCGCGCCGCGUCGCCGCCGGCAUGGAGGCCCGUGCUCGGGCAGCCGCCGCGGCGUCGUCGGCGUCGGUGCGGCGGCGGGGUCUUUGGGGACCGCGUGGCGGGGGACCGGCGCGGCUUCCGGUCGAGGGUUCCGGCGACGCCAAGCCGUAGAUCUGAGCCGCCGUCUGCACCUCGCUUCCUCCCAUGUUUCGAUCUGGAUUCUAUAAACGAGAGAGAAGAGGUUUCAAGCAUUGCUUGGUGCAUGUACAUUGAAGAAUUCAUGGAUUGUGGGGGUAUCAGUUAGAGCUGGAUUUAAAUUCCUUCACGAGCCCCCCGCAUAAAGAGAUUAUACAAACGAGAGAGAAAAGAGGCUCCAGAAGUUCUUAUAACCCAGCUCAAGUGGUUUCAAGCAUUGCUUGGUGCAACUAUAUGUAAGAAUUCACAGAUCGUGGAGUAUCAUUUAGAGCUGGAUUUUAAUUCCUUAAUGAGCCCCAGCAUAAAGAGUGAUAAAAAGUGAGUUUUGUUUCUUCUCUUUUGAUCAAAUUCCCCAUGCAGGCAAGUAUAUUGCUGAUGCAUAAUUUGUUGCUUCAGGGAUCUCAAAAAUAUGAUUUGUAUGGAGCUGUACAACAUUAGGGUGAAUCUUUAUUGGGUGGUCACCUACGUUUGCUAUAUCCAUUUGUUACAAAAUGAUUAAUUUCUAAUAAUAAUGAUGCGUUGAAUUUAUCUAAAUAUACUAAUAUUUCUUACAUCCUUCACUCAGUUACAUGAUUCUAAAAUUUGUACUCUGUAGUUCGAGAAAAUUGGCAAAUAUUAAAGUUUUGAGUCAUAAAGUAUAUAUUUUAUACCAUGUCAAUGAAGGUUCAUUCCAUUGGUUCUCUGCCUUAAGAAUGGCAGUUAUAACUUGGACUUUAAUAAUUCUCUAGCUGAAUCGGUCCUCAUACCAGUAGCUUCCAACUGCGACAACAUUAGUAAGGGCAAGUGCAUUAUUGAUCUGGUUAUUACUCAAGAGAAAGCAAUGUCAGAGGAGUUUUAGGAACAGUCUGAAGAGAAGCUGAUUAUUUAUAUUUGAGGAGAGUUUAUAUUCAGACUGCUGUUGAAGCUCAUCUGGCAUUGCUUUCUCUUGAAGUGUAGUCUCAUUAUUAAUGCACUUGCCCUUAGUAAUGCUGUCAGAGUUGGAACCUACUGGUCUGAGCAGCAGUUCAGCUGAAGAAUUGUCAAAAACCGAGCCAUGGAAACGUUGUUUACUUUCUUAAGUAAUGUGGAGAACCAAGGGGAUAAACCUUGCUUGACAUAGAAUGAAAGAUAUGCUUCGUGGCACAAAGCUUGAUAUUCGCCAAUUUUCUAACCUACAACAUAGAAGUUUAGAAUCAUGUAAUUGGGUGAAAGAUGCAAGAAAUAUUAGUAGCUGUAGUGAUCAUUUAUGAGAAACCAAUCAAUUUGUGACAAGUGGAUAUAGCAAACGUAGUGACGGACCAAUAAUGAUUAACCCCGGUUUGUGAAUGGCGCAUGACUUUA